AAGUCAAAAAGGGGGCCUAAGCUUUCGAUCCUAGCAGAAUCUUCGUCGAGGCAAAAUGACAAACAUAUAAAGUGGAACAACCAUAAUAUAGACCACAAACAAGCUACAGCAACACUAGAAACAAGGAGACAAAAGGGGCAUUAGUGAGUAGAGAAGACCAAUCAGGCAGACCCAAUGUCUUGUUCAUCGUGGUUGAUGAUCUCCGACCCUCUCUCUCUAGCUAUGGUGGUCCUAUUAUUUCUCCUAAUAUUGAUGGCCUUGCAUCACAAUCUGCUGUUUUCCAGCAUGCAAUGGCUCAGCAAGCAGUGUGUGGACCCAGUCGUAUAUCAUUCCUAACUAGUAGGAGACCUGAUACCACCAAGCUCUAUGAUUUCUACUCUUAUUGGAGGGAUGCAGCAGGAAACUACACUACUUUACCACAACACUUCAAAGAACAUGGAUACUUUACUGCUUCCAUUGGAAAAGUCUUUCAUAAUGGUAUACAACCCUUGCAGAACUUUUGAAACCAUUACUGUAUCUGAUCUGGUGCCUGUUGCACAAAGAAUGGCAUUCAAACACAACAUGAUUUUCACCUAAUCAGAAUCAUAUGGACCUGUGCUUGAGUUUAUGGCCCGUAUUCUGAACUCGGGUUUAAAUUAAACUCUGGUUUAAAGUUGUGGUCUAACUAUGGAGAGCCAAUUAGGGCACAAAUACCUAACUUUACACAUCCAAUGUAUUAACUCAUAUGAUACCCACAUUGUCUAGAUGAUAACUAAAGUAUUUUGAAGAAUUUUUCUUCAAUAUAAAAGCAAAGGGAAGCAAAAUAGUAAACAUAAGAAAUAUAUUCAAUAUAAACAACAUUUUUAAAUCUAUUGCUCCCCAUGAUUUUGGCAGAGUUAGACCGUGGUCUCAGUUAAACCUUACUUUAGAUUACUGCCUAUGGGUUGCUUUUAAAUACAACUCUUUCUGCACUGGGCCCCAGCUGUUAUUCCAUUUGGUAGCAUGAAUAAGGUUUUAUAGUUACUUUAUUUUUUAUGAUAAAUAAACAAAUUAAAGGUAUAGUGUAUGAUUGGUUGAUCUCAGACAAGGGCAAUGAAUCAAUUUUGAAAUUAUUACAUUCAUUAAAUACCUAUAUUAUUGCUCUAUUUUAUCACGGAAAAGAAACUUGCAUAACUUUUAUAUUCUCAUGAUAUUGAGGGGUGAAACAUAUAUUAUAACAAAUCUCGGUUAAACGAUAAAAGUUUGAACUUUCUUAUUGACGCCCUCUCGGGUUAAAAAAUAAAUUGAUAUUAGAA